UACGGAAGGCAGCAGUGGGGAAUAUUGCACAAUGGGCGAAAGCCUGAUGCAGCUAUGCCGCGUGUAUGAAGAAGGCCUUAGGGUUGUAAAGUACUUUCAUCGGGGAGGAAAAACAAAACUAAUAAUUUUAUUUCUUGACGUUACCCGAAAAAGAAGCACCGGCUAACUCCGUGCCAGCAGCCGCGGUAAUACGGAGGGUGCUAGCGUUAAUCAGAAUUACUGGGCGUAAAGAGCACGUAGGUGGUUUUUUUAAGUCAGAUGUGAAAUCCCUGGGCUUAACCUAGGAACUGCAUUUUGAAACUGAAAUACUAGAGUAUCGUAGAGGGAGGUAGAAUUCUAGGUGUAGCGGUGAAAUGCGUAGAUAUCUGGAGGAAUACCUGUGGCGAAAAGCGGCCUCCUAAACGAAUACUGACACUGAGGUGCGAAAAGCGUGGGGAGCAAACAGGGAUUAGAUACC
rnacentral:rRNA from 1 species